CCUACGGGAGGCAGCAGCGAGGAAUAUUGGUCAAUGGACGAGAGUCUGAACCAGCCAAGUAGCGUGAAGGAUGACUGCCCUAUGGGUUGUAAACUUCUUUUAUAUGGGAAUAAAAUGUUCCACGUGUGGGAUUUUGUAUGUACCAUAUGAAUAAGGAUCGGCUAACUCCGUGCCAGCAGCCGCGGUAAUACGGAGGAUCCGAGCGUUAUCCGGAUUUAUUGGGUUUAAAGGGAGCGUAGGUGGAUUGUUAAGUCAGUUGUGAAAGUUUGCGGCUCAACCGUAAAAUUGCAGUUGAAACUGGCAGUCUUGAGUACAGUAGAGGUGGGCGGAAUUCGUGGUGUAGCGGUGAAAUGCUUAGAUAUCACGAAGAACUCCGAUUGCGAAGGCAGUUCACUGGACUGCAACUGACACUGAGGCUCGAAAGUGUGGGUAUCAAACAGGAUUAGAUACCCUUGUAGUG
rnacentral:rRNA from 1 species